GAUAAACGCUGGGCGGUGUACAUAAGACAUGCAAGUCGAACGGGAGAAGACAGGAAGAUUUAUCUACUUGUUGGACACCGUGGCGGACGGGUGAGUAACACGUAAGCAACCUGCCUAUAAGAGGGGAAUAACAGUGAGAAAUUACUGAUAAUACCGCAUAAGCUGGAGGUAUCGCAUGAUACAUUCAGAAAAGAUUUAUCGCUUAUAGAUGGGCUUGCGUCUGAUUAGCUAGUUGGUGAGAUAACAGCUCACCAAGGCGACGAUCAGUAGCCGGAUUGAGAGGUUGAACGGCCACAUUGGGACUGAGACACGGCCCAGACUCCUACGGGAGGCAGCAGUCGGGAAUAUUGCACAAUGGAGGAAACUCUGAUGCAGUGACACCGCGUAUAGGAAGAAGGUCUUAGGAUUGUAAGCUAUUGUCGUGUGAGAAGAAAGUGACCAUCCACAGGA
rnacentral:rRNA from 1 species